UCGUGCUAGACGGGGGGGUAGCGGACCCCUGUACCCGCAAUCCGCUAUAGCGGGGUUGAAUUCCCACCCCCGGCCUUCAUUUCCCUGGGGACUGAUCGGCCACGGAGGGCGAAGAGGGCCAGGUCCCACGCGACGAGGAUCUGCAAACCCCGUCAGGUCCGGAAGGAAGCAGCGGUAAGCAGAGACCCUCGGGCGCCGUGGGGUGGCUUGGCCGGAGCAGGAAGUGGACGAUAUCGCCCGGGGAGAGAGAUCAAAGGUGGGUGCACGG
rnacentral:SRP_RNA from 1 species